rnacentral:pre_miRNA from 1 species
AUCACUUGGGGAUCUUGUUAAAAUUCAGAUUCUGAUUCAGUAGGUCUGGGGCGGGGCCUAAGAUUUUCCAUUUCUAACAAGAUCCCCGGUGAAGCUGA